rnacentral:rRNA from 1 species
AAAAUCGGACCCCUUUAAGGGUUAGAGUGCACAGAGGAUGUACCCCAAUCGGUAAGAUACCGGGUUGUUCGGUAGGUUGGAAGAGGUAGAGGCGGAGGAGGGGCUUCGCGUCGGUGCGGGAGCGAGGAGGAGGUAGAGGCGGAGGAGGGACUUCGUGUUGGUGCGGGAGCGAGGAGGACUUCGCGGUGGUCGGAUGGAGCUAGAGGCGGCGGUGGAGGGUGGGGAUGGAGGCGCCACCAGGACGCGGGGGAGAUGGGGCUGGAGGUCGCUGUCAGGAGGGUAGGGCUAGAGGUGGUUACCAGGACGCAGGAGUGGUGGGCUGGAGACCUCUUCGAGACUACUGGGUGGAGGGAGGGGCUGGAGGUGACGCGAGGGCGCGAGAAGUGGCACCAGUGCGGGGGUAGGUACGGCCAUCAAGUACGACCUAAUCCUCCAACAUGUGCAUGCAGAUAUAAAUACAAGUUCAGCUCGAAGCACCUAGACUUCUAUGAACCUCAUAUAUAGAUCGUAUAGUUCGAUGGCCUCUGUUGGUCAUGAAGUAACUUUAUUAUUGUUGUUAUAGUAGCAAAACAGGUUUACUGUAGCAGGUACAUAUGACUACACCAACCGUGAGUGGUGUCCAUCAGCGAGGGGGGUAUCUACUUGACAAAAUAGAGACAUCGAUAAAAACUUAUUUUGACCAGUACAUAUCGUACGUAUGGAAGACCGAUAUAUCUUCAGCUCCACGGAUACACCCGACGUUUUUGUCUCCCGCAGGGGCUGAACCUAAAACACAGGACCAGCUCGUGCAGUAAUUAAUUACCCGCAACCUGUACCUGAGGUGUACCUUGCGAGAGAAACUGUGUAUUUGCUACCGGAGUUCGGGGAUACACCUUCAUAAGUCGAAACGGCAAGAUGGUAAAAGAGAUAUUCUUGCUACAUGUUAAAACUACCUUGUGAUUGGCGGUCACGAUGUGGGCUCCAUGUGGUAACAUAUUAGGUGUACGGUUUGGUACUCAUUUCAUCGUUCGAUAAUACAAAGUUUUAAAUAAACCUUCUCGUACACAAAACCCAAAAUAUGAAGUGGUACUAGAAAAUGACACACGGACGUUGGUAUCGAAGAUAGCAGUAAUUGAACGGUAUAUGCCUAUCAGACGUCUCAAAUGUUUGUUCUCACUUUGGUUAUUACUACCAACUACUAAUACCAUACUAACGGCCUAAUUAUUAAGUCUUGUUCUUUCGAUAAAAUGAUCUUUUCGACGAGGGCGCGAGAAGUGGCACCAGUGUGGGGGUAGGUACGGCGAGAUGAGGGACUUGUGGGUACUCUCGAGGCGGUAGGACACUCCCCUCGUUCAGCUCCACGGAUACGCCCGACGUUUUUACCUCCCGCAGCGGUUGAGACUACAAAACAGGACGAGUUCGUGCAGUAAUUACACACAACCUCUACCUGAGCUGUACCUUGUGAGAGAAACGGUGUAGUUUCUACCGGAGUUCGGGGAUAUGUCUUCAUAGGUUAGAACGACAAGAUGUUAAAAGAGACCUUGUUGCUACAUGUUGAAGCUGCCUUGUCCUGGCGGUCACGAGGUGGACUCUUAUUUGAAGAGUACUCACUUUAAUGAAGACCACAACGUUACAUCGAUCUAACCUCUCUUUGUACUAUCGUAGAAUUAUUAGGUCAUUCUAACAUUUGGUCAAAAAAUUACCCCCGUCAAAAAGCCAACCUGCCUUCAUUGAGGUGAGCGAUCCUCCCGAACCACCAUUAUAUGUUCCGGCACUUCGUAAAAAGUACAUUGACCAUCACUAGAUUCAGUGUACAAUAAUGUUACCUACGAUGAUGUUGUAAAGGCAUAUUUACAUACGGUGACUAGAAACGUAUAUAUAAUGUGAGGUAAACAUUUAUUUAUAUUCUACAAAAUUAUACAAAGAUGAUGAUAUACAAAAGUAGUAAUAAUACUGUUAUCUAGCUAAUAGAAG